rnacentral:tRNA from 2 species
CGGAAAGUUAGUCUAACUAAGACA